AUACUUAACUGGCGUAAGGGAUGCCGUGAUCAUGCAGGUGGUUCCUCCAGGGAGAGGCUGCUCCAUUGUACUGCGGAGUGGUUGACCCUUACGAUUAUUUUUAUUUUUAUCAAUAAAAGAAUCAUAAUAAAAAAUGUAUACC
rnacentral:snRNA from 9 species